UACGAAGGGAGCUAGCGUUGUUCGGAAUUACUGGGCGUAAAGCGCGCGUAGGUGGCUUUGCAAGUCAGAGGUGAAAUCCCAGAGCUUAACUCUGGAAUUGCCUUUGAAACUGCGAAGCUUGAGUAUCGGAGGGGAUGGUGGAAUUUCUAAUGUAGCGGUGAAAUGCGUAGAUAUUAGAAGGAACACCGGUGGCGAAGGCGACCAUCUGGACGAUAACUGACACUGAGGCGCGAAAGCGUGGGGAUCAAACAGG
rnacentral:rRNA from 1 species